GAAGAAAAGCUGCAGUUCGUUUGUCCUCGUUGUUCGUCUUAGACCAUUUAGAGUCACCAUCAGGUAUCGCCCUACCAUCUGCGGAAGAAUUGUCGGUGGUCAAAGAGUUGGUCGGCAUGGAACCAAAGGAUAAUAUAUUUCCUAAACUUUAUAAACAUAGAGAAGCUUUUAAAGCAACUUAUCAACUAUUUGCAUCAGUCGCUACUUUCGGUUGCAGCACGGCACUUUGCGAGUCAUCUUUUUCUUCAUUGACAGCAAUCAAUAGACCUCAAAGGUAUUCAAUGCAACACCAACGAAUGGCAGACCUUUCCUAGCGUUUGAGAGAAGAAGAGCUAGAGAAAUAGACAUGGAAUUAUUUCUGCGAAAAUUUCAUAAUUCUGCUAAUAAAAAGAUUCCCCUAUUUUAGUAAAUUAAAUUAAAAUAAAUUUAGAUUUUUUUUAUGGAUUUCUAUUAUUUUCGUGUCGACUUUUUAUUUUAUAUAACAAACAAUAUAAAGUAUUAAUGAUUAAAUACAUGGGUAGUGAUUUUAAAUUAUA